rnacentral:lncRNA from 1 species
CCCAAAUACACAACAGUUGGGAAAUUUAUGGCCCCAAUUGUUUGCAUGCAUAGAAGAGUAUGAACUAUGUGGUGGUAACGGUGAUCGUCAUGGUGGUCGGUAUUUAUUGUCCAUUCUCAUAUACAUAUGUGGAUUAGACCAGUUUGUCAUGGUUUUCUCUUUUGCAGUUGAAUUCAAUCGUCAUCCCUAUAUAUUAGAGUAGUUAGCCUUGUUGAAAAGGAAAAAAAAGUUAGCUACUCAUUUGGUUAAUGGGAAAGGAGGCUUGGGGAUGAGAAAUCAAUUGUUUUCCCAUGUUUGGUAAGUCUAAGCAUGAGAAAUGGUUGUCUGGCACAUGGAAUAGUAAGGGGAAAGUGAAGCCAUCCUCCCCCUUCGGUUUUGUUUUCCUCCUCAUGGGAAAGUUUAAGAAAAUGAGCCAACACUAAAUACACAUUUUCAUGACCAUUUUGUCUCCAUUAACAAUUUAGAAUUACAAUAUAGCAUUAAAUGCAUUUUUUUUUAAUAUUUGAUUUCACAUGGGUAUAAUUGAAAAUUUAAACAAACUUUGUUUUACAUUCCUACACAAACCAAACAUGUGAAAGGAAAUAAAAUGGUAUUUCCUGGUUACUUUCCCCAAAUUACCAAAUAAGGAAAGGAAUCUUCCAUUUCCCAUCCCUAGUAGGGAUGGCACUGGGUCGAAUUGAG